UGGGUGACAAUGCCAAACUCCC
rnacentral:piRNA from 1 species